rnacentral:rRNA from 1 species
ACGGGAGGCGCAGCUAAGAAUAUUCCGCAAUGGACGAAAGUCUGACGGAGCGACGCCGCGUGGAUGAUGAAGGUCGGAAGAUUGUAAAAUCCUUUUAUGACUGAGGAAUAAGCAGUGUGAGAGAAACGCAUUGUGGUGACUGUAGGUCAUGAAUAAGCAGCGGCUAAUUACGUGCCAGCAGCCGCGGUAACACGUAAGUUGCGAGCGUUGUUCGGAAUUAUUGGGCGUAAAGGGCAUGUAGGCGGUUUUGCAAGCUUGGUGUGAAAGGCAGGAGCUUAACUCCUGGACUGCGUUGAGAACUGCAAGACUAGAGUCACUGAGGGGCAAUCAGAAUUCCAGGUGUAGGGGUGAAAUCUGUAGAUAUCUGGAAGAAUACCAAUGGCGAAGGCAGGUUGCUAGCAGAUGACUGACGCUGAGGUGCGAAGGUGCGGGGAGCAAACAGGAUUAGAUACCCUGGUA